GAUGAAGAACGCAGCGAAAUGCGAUAAGUAAUGUGAAUUGCAUAAUUCAGUGAAUCAUCGAAUCUUUGAACGCACAUUGCGCCCUCUGGUAUUCCGGGGGGCAUGCCUGUUCGAGCGUCAUUAUAACCACUCAAGCUCUCGCUUGGUAUUGGAGUUCGCGAUCUCGCGGCUCCUAAAAUCAGUGGCGGUGCCUGUCGGCUCUACGCGUAGUAAUACUCCUCGCGAUUGAGUCCGGUAGGUUUACUUGCCAGCAACCCCCAAUUUUUACAGGUUGACCUCGGAUCAGGUAGGGAUACCCGCUGAACUUAAGCAUAUCAAUAAGCGGAGGA
rnacentral:misc_RNA from 1 species